AUGGUACCUCAAAAGGGAAGAAGAGAAGGGAAAGAAGGGGAAAACCCAUCAGCUUUGGACCUCGAAUGGCUGGAGGAGAGAAUGUAUUUGCUGUUUGCCUCAUCUUCGCAUCCUUCAGUGACAUCUCUGUCCAUGUUACCAAACUCUCUGGCAAGGAAACCAUCUGCUGUGACAGGCGGUACUGAAGGUAAAAGCUGACUGAGACGAAUCCUCUCUCUAUGCAGCCAUAUGGUUGUCCAUGAUAUGGCCCAGAGGUGUAAGGAGUAGGGCAUCACUUCCCUGGAUAUCAAACUCUGGCCUACAGAAGGAAACAGGACCUGGAGCCCAGUCAGUCUUCGGAGGUCCUGUUUACUCAUGGAUAAUGAAGCCAUCACCCCAAUCUGCCAGCACUCAAAGGAAGGGAUGCUGUUCUGGUCACCAUCUGUGA
rnacentral:lncRNA from 1 species